rnacentral:rRNA from 1 species
UACGUAGGGACCAAGCGUUGUUCGGAUUUACUGGGCGUAAAGGGCGCGUAGGCGGCGAAUCAAGUCAGCUGUGAAAUCUCCGAGCUUAACUCGGAACGGUCAGCUGAUACUGUUUUGCUAGAGUGCAGAAAGGGCAACCGGAAUUCUUGGUGUAGCGGUGAAAUGCGCAGAUAUCAGGAGGAACACCGAUGGCGAAGGCAGGUCUCUGGGCCAUAACUGACGCUGAGAAGCGAAAGCAUGGGGAGCGAACAGG